AAAGUUAUGCCCAACAAAAGCAAAAAAACAAAAAAAAUUGUUGUUUAAAAAAAUGAAAAAAAAGAAAAAAAUAACAAUAAAAUGUGAAAUCCACCUUGCAACUUCAAAAAAAAAAAGUAUUAUCUGCAUUUUUUUCUCAAACAUACACUUUGUUUUCCUUAUUUCCCUUCUUUGUUAGCCAUGUCCCUAGCUUAUGUUAC
rnacentral:lncRNA from 1 species